rnacentral:rRNA from 1 species
AUUGAACGCUGGCGGCAUGCUUUACACAUGCAAGUCGAACGGUAACAGGCCGCAUGGUGCUGACGAGUGGCGAACGGGUGAGUAAUGCAUCGGAACGUGCCCAGUCGUGGGGGAUAACUACUCGAAAGAGUAGCUAAUACCGCAUACGCUCUAUGGAUGAAAGUGGGGGACCGUACGGCCUCGCGCGAUUUGAGCGGCCGAUGUCAGAUUAGGUAGUUGGUGGGGUAAAGGCUCACCAAGCCAACGAUCUGUAUCUGGUCUGAGAGGACGACCAGCCACACUGGGACUGAGACACGGCCCAGACUCCUACGGGAGGCAGCAGUGGGGAAUUUUGGACAAUGGGCGCAAGCCUGAUCCAGCAAUGCCGCGUGCAGGAAGAAGGCCUUCGGGUUGUAAACUGCUUUUGUACGGAACGAAACGAAUCUGGUUAAUACCCGGGGCUAAUGACGGUACCGUAAGAAUAAGCACCGGCUAACUACGUG